rfam:Streptomyces sviceus ATCC 29083 chromosome, whole genome shotgun sequence.
AAGUUGACGGGUCUCGAAGGCCCGUGGUGGACUGCCGGAGCCAUAUACGGCGGCAGGAGAGGAAGCCGGUGCGAAUCCGGCGCGGUCCCGCCACUGUCACCGGGGUAGACACCCCCGGGAGCCAGGAACUCUCGCCGCCGGACUCGUCGAACC